rnacentral:rRNA from 1 species
AUGAACGCUGGCGGUGUGCCUAAGGCAUGCAAGUCGAACGCUUCCGCAAGGAAGAGUGGCAGACGGGUGAGUAACGCGUAGGAAUCUACCCUCAAGCGGGGAAUAGCCAACCGAAAGGUUGGGUAAUACCGCAUGUGAUCGCAAGAUUAAAGUCGCAAGACACUUGAGGAGGAGCCUGCGUCCUAUCAGGCUGUUGGCGGGGGUAACGGCCCACCAAACCAACGACGGGUAGCCGGUGUGAGAGCACGAUCGGCCACAAGGUUACUGAGACACGGAGCCUACACCUACGGGUGGCAGCAACCAGGAAUAUUGCGCAAUGGGCGAAAGCCUGACGCAGCGACACCGCGUGUGGGAUGAAGUCCUUCGGGAUGUAAACCACUGUGGCGAGGGAUGAACUAAUGACAGUACCUCGCUAGAAAGCACCAGCUAACUACGUGCCAGAAGCUUCGGUAAUACGUAGGGUGCGAGCGUUAUCCGGAUUUACUGGGCGUAAAGAGUCUGUAGGUGACUAGAUAAGUUUCUCGUUCAAGACUGGGGCUCAACUCCAGCGUGGCGAGGAAAACUACCUGGAUUGAGUCGGUUCGAGGGAACUGGAAUUCUCGGUGGAGGGGUGAAAUCCGUAGAUAUCGAGAGGAACGCCAAUCGCGAAGGCAGGUUCCUAGGACUUGACUGACACUGAGAGACGAAAGCUUGGGUAGCAAAAGGGAUUAGAGACCCCUGUAGUCCAAGCCGUAAACAUUCCUUGCUAGUUGUUCUCCCUUCGGGGGGAGUGACGUAAGCUAACGCGUUAAGCAAGGCGCCUGGGGAGUACGACCGCAAGGUUAAAACUCAAAGGAAUUGGCGGGGGAGCGCACAACCGGUGGAGCAUGUGGUUUAAUUCGAUACAAAGCGAAGAACAUUACCCAGGUUUGACAUCCAACUGCACAGCCUUGGAAACAAGGAAUUCUUCGAGAGUGUUGGACAGGUGAUGCAUGGCUGUCGUCAGCUCGUGUCGUGAGACGUCCGCUUAAGUGCGGUAACGAGCGCAACCCUUGUCAUAUGUUACACGUAUCAUAUGAGACUGCCCCGCCAAUGCGGGGAGGAAGGAGAGGACGACGUCAAGUCAGCACGUCCCUUACAUCUGGGGCUACACACAUCCUACAAUGGGGUGGACAACGGGUAGCGACGCCGCGAGGCCGAGCCAAUCCUAAUAAACCAUCCCUCAGUUCAGAUUGCAGGCUGCAACUCGCCUGCAUGAAGCCGGAAUCGGUAGUAAUCGCAAAUCAGCAGGUUGCGGUGAAUACGUUCUCGCUCCUUGCACACACUGCCCGUCAAGCCAGCAAAGUUGGCAGCGCCCGAAGCGGAUGACCUGAACUCGCAAGAGACAGGCUCUUCUACGGUGAGGUCAGCGAUGAGGACU